GAUCAUGGCCAGGAUGAACGCUAGCGACAGGCUUAACACAUGCAAGUCGAGGGGCAUCAUGAGGUAGCAAUACCUUGAUGGCGACCGGCGCACGGGUGAGUAACGCGUAUGCAACCUGCCUGAUACCGGGGUAUAGCCCAUGGAAACGUGGAUUAACACCCCAUAGUACUUUAUCCUGCAUGGGAUGUGAGUUAAAUGUUCAAGGGGGUAUCGGAUGGGCAUGCGUCCUAUUAG
rnacentral:rRNA from 1 species